UCCUAUGUGAAAGGUGUUCGUGCACAGUUUUCUCUUCAGAUCAUCUUCUCUGAUCUUGCGAAGAGUCGAAGAAGGAGAUCCAAAUCAAAAGAGCGAGAUCUGAAAGAGAGCUAGCACCUUGGUAGUUUUGGAUGCUUCUGAUCUAUAUCAGUUCUAUAUGGAUACAAGUAGAGGCUGGACAUGUGUGCAGUUUCAUCGAAACCUACAGACAUCUUUAGAUCUAUAUCCCAAAGCAGAAAAGUAGUGCUAUAGGUAGGUGAUUCAUCACC
rnacentral:lncRNA from 1 species